GGUAUGGGUGAGAAGGGGAAAGCUGUAACCAGGGUUCGAAAAUCUUGAUCGAAGAAAAAAAAGAGAGCACAAAAUUAGAAAAAAAAUAAUUUUUCAUCUUCAACAGCGGUGGCUAUAUUAGAUCAGUCGUCUUCGAUGGCAGAGAGAAGCAAGACUACAGAUCGAGAUAGAAUUUUUCUAACUGGUACCUCGGCUAGGGGAGAAGAUGCAGUGGAGGUUGGAAGAUCCUGCGCACAGAUUAUCCAAAGAUCUAGGUACUUUCGAUGGAAAACCUCCCGAGCUUCGACGGAAGAUAUCGUCAUGCUAGAAGAGAGAUUCAGCCGGGUGGUUGUGUUCUCGGAGGAGAAAAGCAAUUUAGCUGUCUCACAGUUGAAAAUGGCUCUGCUGGGUAGGUUUCUUGGAAAAGAUUUUUUAGUAGACUUUGUGCAAAAGGAGUUUAAACUCUGAUGGAAUGUGGAGGGCAAUUUUCAGAUUUCAUCUAUUUUUGAGGGUGUCCUCAUGUUUAGACUACCUUCAAAGGAGAUAAAGCAAAGGGUGUUGGAGAAAGGGCCUUGGUUCUUGGCAGGGCAGCUACUUGCUCUGAAGGACUGACGGCCGAACUUUAAACCCAAUCAUGAUUCUAUCAAACAAACUAGGGUUUGGGUCCGAUUGCUAGAAUUAUCAAUUGAAUUAUGGGAUAAGGAGAAGAUACUGAGAAUUGUAUCAGUGGCAGGUAAACCCUUAUUCCUUGAUGAAUGUACAGAGGCAUCCUCACGUAUGGGGUUUCCUAAAAUUUGUUUGCUUAUUCUGCUGAUCAGCCGAUCUGCUUGAGAAUGAAGGUCAAGGUAAAGGAUGCUACUAUCUAGCAGGAGUUUAUGUAUGAAGAUUUAUCAAAGAUAUAUUAUACCUGUGGCCGGAUAGUUACAGUAGUAGCGGAUUAUGGCUGUUCACGGCUGCCAGAGAGCAUAGAAUUAAGCAAGUGUAUGGGCCAUGGAUUAGGGCGACCAGGAUACCAGUUGCUACCCCAAACAACAAUAAUGUGAGGCCAAACCCUAACUUGGCUAAUUAGGGGGGAUUCUCUGUGGCUCCUUGGAUGCAACCUAAAAAACAAGCAAAGAAGGCUUCGCCAACCAAAACUAAACCCCCAGAGCAGGAACUUGAUAAGGGACAAGGAUUGAGAUUUGCCCCUUUAAUGGGAGAACUUGAUGAACCUAUGGUCCAGCCAAUGGAUAUAAGUUCCUCCUCAUCUGCUCAGGGUGAUACUUCAGGGAUGGGUUCACUAAAAGAGAAAAGAAAGUGUUUACAUAAGAAAUCUGUAUCCAAGAGUGGUUCUCUAGGCUCUAAAUCUCGACCGACAUCUAAAGUGAUUGUGCGGGAGGAGGCAUCAACUGAUAUAGAGAUAUCUAAACAAAUAGUGUUAUAUUCUCCAGUAAAUAAUGCCAAGAAGUCUCAUGGGGUAAAGGAAGUUUAGAGGCCAACUGGGGGAAGAAUUAUUGAGCAAACCAGAGAAUUGAAGGCAAAGAUACGGUAUUCUAAGGCUCAAGAUGGGAGUACAAAUGACGGCAAGGCCAACCCAUCUACAAGUACAGAAUCAGGUUGGGGAACAGUCAUGGCAUUGGGAAGCUAGUAUGUCAUCUAAUUUUCAUGCAUCCACAACUAAGCAAGUGGGUUGGCUUCCUCCUACCAUGGUUUUCUUAAACUCAAUUUUGACGCCUCUGUUCAAGCUGAAGCUGGAGGCAGACAGCUGCCGCCCUCAUCGAUCCCCUUUGCUGAAUUGACAACUGUUUGGCUUGGGAUAAAGGUAGCAGUGCUUGAUUUAAAUGCUGUUAAUGAUGAAAAACUGUAGGCGGUUUAGUACAUGCAUUUCAAAAUUUUUUCGAAAUAUAACAUAGCAAAACACUCUAGAUUAAUUAAAUUAAUCUAGUAUGUAUUAGAUCUAAUCUAAAAUAGCCUAUGCUAGGAUCAAUGAUAUGACAUAAUAUGCAUACAAAAUUAGAAAGCAAAAAUCAUAGAUCUAAUUGAUAUGAUCAUUGAGUUCUGAACCAAAUAUUUGAGCGUGAGUCGAAGAUCACCAUAGUUGAUUAUAGUGGAUCUGAGGUUCUUCUAGUUGCAUGAUAGUCACAUAGAUUGUCUGGCCUCUGCAGGAUGUCUACAUAAAAUUUCAAACUGAUCGAUCUCUCGGAAGUGUUAGCUCACAUAGAAAUCCUCUUGAUGGCUGAUCUAUGCCCCUCUUCAAAUCUUACAAACUCUUUCGAAGCUGAAGAUGGAUUUAAGAGGAUGAAGUGGUGGAAAAAUGUGAAGAUGAGAUACGCUCUCUUCUCACUUUUUUCUCUUCCCGAAGCCCAAGAAUAGGAUCCUAGGGACCCACUCAAAAGACUCAUGCCCAAGAAGAAAUAAUUUUCCUCUAUUUCAUGCAUAGAAGAUCCACACCCACUCUCUAUUACACACCCCACUCAGAAGUAUUUUAAUGAUAAUCCUUAUUUAUUUUGUCGCACAAAAUGGGAUGGGAUAUAUGGUGGGCGACAAGAUGUGGAUUAAGAUAAAGAUGAAGAUUAGUUUUAAUUCAAAUUCAAAAUCCUUUUGAAUUUAAACUCAGCCAAUCUUAUCCUUAUCCAAGAGAGGGCGACAUGAGCAUGAAGGCAUGGAGUUUUUCUCACACAAAUUUUGAAUUUGUGUGGAGAGGAGAAGGGCGUGGGAUGAGGUGGCGCAAGGGGUUUUAAAAUUCAAACUCAUUUGAAUUUGAUUCAACCCAAUUUGGUCAUAAACCAAAUCAAAUUAGGUUAGACCCAAUUAGAUGACUGAAUCUAAUCUAAUUAGGUACCAAAUGAACUUGAUUAAAUCCUAAUCCAAUCAUAAAUUAAUCGAGCUCAAGUCCUGAUUAAAUCAGGAAUCAAUCUUCCUUAGCAAUUAGAUCAUCUUAUAACUUAAUUGGGUUAAACCUAAUCAAAUUCAAUUCAAUUAGAUUUGAUUUGAAUCUUAUUACUUAAUCAAAUUGAGCUAAUCAGUAUUCUAAUUACUAAUUAAUCUUUCUAUAAUUUACUAACUAUUAGUAAAUUAAUCUUUCGCAAUCUUUGCAUAAUGUUAAUCAUCAAUCAUAUUGAUGAUUAUACCCUUGAACGAUUCUCAAUCGUUGAUCAAUCAUCUGAUCAGACAGAAAUUUUUAUUGUGUGUGAUCUCAUAGAUUCAAAUCUAAAUCGUUAGCACAAAAAUAAAUAUCUGCACUAAUCGAAAUGAUUAUCUAGCAAUAAUAUCCGACGUCCGGAUAGACUGAAUGGUUGCAAAGCAACAUUCAAAAAUUUUUGGCAUAUGGUUACCGUAUAAUUCAUUCUUUUGACCCUCAAUGCUCAGGAUGACUUUAGAGUUAAACUGUUAACUCUUGAUUAAUAUAUCCGAUUUGUGUCUCAAUCUUAUAAAUUCUGUAACUCCUCACAAAGAUUAUCCUAGCCAAGAUUUUACUAAAUGAAAUACAAUGUAGCAUUAUCUCCUGAAAUCAGAAGUGGUCAAUCCCAUCUUGACUCACACAUAGACUUUGCAAGUACUUGAUUGUGUCUAAAAAUUUUUUGUUACUGAAUUAGAAAUUCAGAUAGUCCGGUACUAAAGCAUAGUGAGUUGCUUACAAGUCAUCGUGGUGAUCUCAGAUCGGAGGGAUACUUAUACCCAUAUCCUUCAUGAGCAGCUCUUGACAGCAGAGCGCUCCACAGUUUGAUCACAUUCAAUACAAAUAUACUCCUAUAAUUUAUCUGUAUACCAUACCAAUAUCUCUACAUUCAUUGAUUAUGAGGACAACUAACUCGUAUGACACACAACAAUCUAUACUUAGUAAAUGUUAUCGUCCUAGUAAUAAUGUAUCAUUUAAUCGCGAACAAAUUUAAUAACUGCACGAUAAAUCCUUCUUUAUCGAUUGAAAGUAAUUCUAAAGACUUCAUCAUAACAUAAGAGUUCAAUAAGAAGAUGUAAAUAUUUAUGAUGAAAUUAUCAAAUAAUUUUUAUUAAUUUAUAAUUCAUAUAUAAUUUAUAAAGAGUACAAUCAUUUAUAGAUAGACGAUUGACUUUAGGUUAUAUUUUCCAACAGUUAGGCUUUGGGUGGAAGGAGAUUCAAGCACAGUUAUUACUUGGUUAUCUAAUAAUUUUGCACAAGCUCGAAGCUCCUACCCUAUGAUCAAUGACUUGAGGGUAUGGAUGGACCAAAUAUAGGUUUUUAAAGCUACUCAUAUUUACAGGGGAGGUAAUGUGGCUGCUGAUUUUUUGGCUAACCGGGCUAGGCAAAUGGAUUUUAUAAUCCAUGCCCAUGACCCUGUGUGCUCUGAAUUGGCUGGUAUUCUUAUUGCAGAUGCAUGCGGAAUUUGUUUUGAAUGAUGAUGAGGUUUCAUGAUCUUCUGAUCAUCUGUAUGGAAAUGAAUGCUGUGUGUUCUCCUUGUCUCUUAUUUCUUCCACCGUAUCUCAUCUACUUUAACUAGUUGACGGCAAGAAAGAAUCAGAAGUUAAGAACCCAAUAUGCCUCGGAGUUCUUACUUUUGUGUACUUUGCUCCAUUGUUUAUUGUAUCCUAUUUAUUAGGAGUGUUGGCUCAAUGUUAUAGCUAAAGACCAGGGGUGCAAUUGGCCUAUUUCUUCAACUCAGCAUUGGGACUGGGCCACACUUACCUAGCAAUGGGAUGCUGUCUUGAAGUCUGAAAGUAUUCUUAGUGGCUUUUCUUUUGGAGGGCUCUAUUAUAUUAAACACUAUAGGGUCUGCUUGCUCAUCAGUACUAUUAUUACUAUGUUUCACUCUUUUAAUAGCUCGUAUAUUUGCCAUGGGUAUUUUGUUGGUAUAUUGAAGAUCAUUUUCCUCCUUCAUUCUAUGUUACUAACCUACUUAAAAUUGUUGUAUUGGAAGCUAUUUGAGCUAGAAAAUGGCUGUUCUGCUGCAAUUACUCUAAAAAAUAGUAUAAAUGCUGCUGUCACUAGAACUUAUUUAUGGAUAUCAAUUAUGAUCUAAAGAUAAUAUUGGCCAUUCAGAACUACUCAAUAUUUUUAUGCAUGGGUUUACAUUUAUUCUUCACCAUUAGAUGCAGAAAAUGACAGGACAAUAUUAUGAGCUGCCGAUUCUAUUUCACAUAUCCUCAAAAGCUUGCAUCAAGUCUGGUGUCAUGAGCUUGUUCUGAUCAUUGGCUUUCUAGACGCUUUUCAGCUACAUGCUCUUAUUUCAAGCAAUAUAGUUUCAUGGGCUCUUUGUCUCACUAUUGCUCCUAUUUUCUAAUAUGCUCUGAUGACGUUUGUCCUGUUGAUGAUUGUUUGCAUCAUAUAUACUCCAGCAGAUUGUCAAUUUCAAGCAAUAUGGCCAUCCUGAUGGAUGUGAUUUCUAUGAAGAGCUUGAGACUAUUGAAUUUCCUAUUUUAUGUAUUUUGCCACUCUUUCUUAUAUGUAUUCUGAGUGGGAGCUAUUCUACAUGCUGUAUGUAACUUUGAAACUUUUAUUUUAUAUUAUCUAUUAA